AGUGAACGCUGGCGGUAGGCCUAACACAUGCAAGUCGAACGGCAGCACAGUAAGAUCUUGCUCUUACGGGUGGCGAGUGGCGGACGGGUGAGGAAUACAUCGGAAUCUACUUUUUCGUGGGGGAUAACGUAGGGAAACUUACGCUAAUACCGCAUACGACCUACGGGUGAAAGCAGGGGAUCUUCGGACCUUGCGCGAUUGAAUUAGCCGAUGUCGGAUUAGCUAGUUGGCGGGGUAAAGGCCCACCAAGGCGACGAUCCGUAGCUGGUCUGAGAGGAUGAUCAGCCACACUGGAACUGAGACACGGUCCAGACUCCUACGGGAGGCAGCAGUGGGGAAUAUUGGACAAUGGGCGCAAGCCUGAUCCAGCCAUACCGCGUGGGUGAAGAAGGCCUUCGGGUUGUAAAGCCCUUUUGUUGGGAAAGAAAAGCAGCAGGUUAAUACCCCGAUGUUCUGACGGUACCCAAAGAAUAAGCACCGGCUAACUUCGUG
rnacentral:rRNA from 1 species